UUCCCGGGUGGCUCCGCCUGUGCCCAUACCCCCAGGCUCGCGGGGGCUCAGCGCCUUGCCGCCUCCGCGCACAAGUUGUGCCACGUGGCCUUGACCCCUGUGACUCCCCUGCAGCUCCCGGGCACGCACGAACGAGUCGACUCGCACGCUGGAAGCCAGUGUCCGCCCACCGGCCGCGGCGAUCCGGAACCCGGAAGGGGGCGGGGCAUGGGGUCGAACGCGCGAAGGUCCCCAAGCGCAGCUGGGCAUCCCGGACGGGCGCCACAUCGUGGGCUUUCCUGCACUGCACGCAUUUGCAUUCGCCGAGUGGUGAGCCCGACUGGCUGCUCGUAGGCUCGUGGGCGGGCCGCCCCCCCUCACUCUGCGCGGAGUCCCAAUCCUUGUCUGCACCUCCCCUCCCCCCACCGUUUAUUCACUGCCCCAGGCGCCGCCAGUCCCUUCGAGUGCUGGUGGGCUCACAGAUCGGGACCGGGCGGGGCGGGGGAAGGCGCGGGCGCAGCUGGGUGUCCAGGAGGCAGAAUGGCACCUCGGACUGAGCCUUCCUUCCCUCCCCGUCCCUCCCCUCCAACCCACCCCGCCCAGGACGGGCUCCUGCGCCGCACACAGCUGACGCUGUUGCUGGACUGGGCCGAGCUGUCCGAGGUUGAGAGCCGCCAAAGUGACGAGGCCGUGGCCUUCAGUGUGCGCCUGGGUGACCACAACUUCGACAACUGCGCGCUUAGGAAUGCUGCUGAGAUCCUGCAAUCUCCGCCACUCCGUGGCCUGCCCCGCGGAGAUGCUGAGGGCCUUGGAAAGGAGGAAGGGCGCCGCCACUCCCUGGCAGGCCCUCCCAGGGGAGGCCGCCCGGCUGAGCACUGGCGGGCCGGCGCCUGGACUACGUCACCUACCGAGGAGGACCCGGAGGCGUUCUGAGCCCAGUACGUGCCAGAGCUCAGGGUGCUGGGCCUGCUGGCGCUGGGGUGACCCCUCAACCUGACUCCUGCCCCCAAGAGGUGGAACGGGUGACAUUCAGCACCGCCCUGGUGGGGCUUACGGACCACCUGGCGGUGGGACUUGCAAGCCCUCCUAAGGCAGCAGCCCCAGAGCUGUGCCCACCGGCUCACCACACCUGGGAAGCAGCGCAGGCCCCGAAGGCCCCCAGGAUGACGUCCACCACCCGCUGCGACGUAAGCACGUUGCCGCCCACCACCGCCGCCUCUGGGGACGGGUCCAGGAUGGAGCCCUUA